UAAUCUGUAGAGGACCUGACUUCAGUUGC
rnacentral:piRNA from 1 species